AUUGAACGCUGGCGGCAUGCUUUACACAUGCAAGUCGAACGGCAGCGCGGGCUUCGGCCUGGCGGCGAGUGGCGAACGGGUGAGUAAUACAUCGGAACGUGCCCAGUAGUGGGGGAUAGCUCGGCGAAAGCCGGAUUAAUACCGCAUACGACCUGAGGGUGAAAGCGGGGGAUCUUCGGACCUCGCGCUAUUGGAGCGGCCGAUGGCAGAUUAGCUAGUUGGUGGGGUAAAGGCCUACCAAGGCGACGAUCUGUAGCUGGUCUGAGAGGACGACCAGCCACACUGGGACUGAGACACGGCCCAGACUCCUACGGGAGGCAGCAGUGGGGAAUUUUGGACAAUGGGCGAAAGCCUGAUCCAGCAAUGCCGCGUGUGUGAUGAAGGCCUUCGGGUUGUAAAGCACUUUUGGCGGGAACGAAAAGGACUGUGCCAAUACCACGGUUCGAUGACGGUACCCGCAGAAUGAGCACCGGCUAACUACGUG
rnacentral:rRNA from 1 species